rnacentral:lncRNA from 1 species
UGACAGUUUCUUCUCCAAGAUUCUUCUGUAUGGACUUAAUAAGCACGUAUUCUUCGCUGUAGGUACUCAACAUUGUUAACUACACCAGCUCUUUGGCAUGAAGGAAGACUUAAGGCAUAUGCCUUUCAUCAUCUUGACUCGACCCAUUUACCUAUAAGUCGAUUUAUUUGGGCGGCUUGGAUAAACAAUUUUGCAGAACAAAUCAUUAAUCCAAACCAUCCAGGAAAGUGCAAGGGAAGCUGGUUAGAUUAACAAAAGCCUGCUUACACGCGGCACACUUUAAGCAAUACGGCACACUUUCACGUUUCAGUUGUCCAGAAUUUAUUAAAAAUUUAUGGCUGUCGACCAUAGCCGCAAGGCUUUGGAAGGCUUUCAAGACUAAGUUUACUUAUUUCCUUAAGACAAGCAAGAAAAACCAAGUCUUUACCUGGUGAUUAUGCCACCAACAUUCUUGGAAACUAUGCUCCAAGCUGCACUUUCAUGAUCUCUGCAAGUUAUUUAUAUUUAUGACAAGUGAAGUUUAAAAAAGUUGGAGGUGUAUAUUGUUCCUACAAGGAGUAUGACGCAGUCAACGAGACUAGACUUUCUGGCAUUAAAAAUUGGCGAGUCAACCGGUUUACGGUGUGUAUGCGUAGUUCUUUUUCAUUGUUAUGAUCUACCUCUAAACGGUGUGUAUGCGUAAUUCCUUUUCGUUAAUAUACUCUACCUCUAAAGAAAAUUGACGAGAUAGUAAGUAUAUUUCUAAUUAAAAAGAGUUGGCCCUUUCCAAGAGGAAAGAAUGGUUUGUCUAGGGAUGUUUUUAGCUUAUUUUCCUUUCAUUGGGCUACACAAUCUUUACCGGAUCAAGAAAUAAGAUUUUCUACCAGGCUUUUUUUUUCCCUUGGACCAGCAAGAAGUAUGGCGGGGCGACCUCGGCCGCCCUCAAGAACGGUUUGAUGACCUCAACAACGACACCAAAGCCUUACUUUCAUGGUUACUUUUUGGUGAAAGCAUUGGGAUGAAUAAAGAGUCAAAAGACUUCACGAGAGAGUUGUUUGAUUCACUUUUCCGUGCCGAAAUAUGACUAUUGACUAUAAAUGAAUUUUAGCAAGCAUGGGUAUGAAAUGCAAAUUAUUUUAAAUCAAAACAUUUUUCUAUUA